UACGGAGGGAGCUAGCGUUGUUCGGAAUUACUGGGCGUAAAGCGCGCGUAGGCGGCUUUUUAAGUCAGAGGUGAAAGCCCGGGGCUCAACCCCGGAAUUGCCUUUGAAACUGGAAAGCUAGAAUCUUGGAGAGGUCAGUGGAAUUCCGAGUGUAGAGGUGAAAUUCGUAGAUAUUCGGAAGAACACCAGUGGCGAAGGCGACUGACUGGACAAGUAUUGACGCUGAGGUGCGAAAGCGUGGGGAG
rnacentral:rRNA from 1 species